rnacentral:tRNA from 1 species
CAAAACGUAGCUUAACAAAAGCACCUGGCUUACACCCAGGAGAUUUCCCUUCAAAAGGAACGUUUUGA